UGACGUCAACAACGCAGCAAAUGCAGAUUGGAUGUUCACUGAUCUCUCAAGUCAACAUCCAAUCUGCAUUUGCUGCGUUGUUGACGUCAC
rnacentral:pre_miRNA from 1 species